UACGGAGGGUGCGAGCGUUGUCCGGAAUCAUUGGGCGUAAAGGGCUCGUAGGCGGCCAACUAAGUCCGACGUGAAAUCCCCAGGCUUAACCUGGGAACUGCGUCGGAUACUGGAUGGCUUGAAUUCGGGAGAGGGAUGCAGAAUUCCAGGUGUAGCGGUGAAAUGCGUAGAUAUCUGGAGGAAUACCGGUGGCGAAGGCGGCAUCCUGGACCGACAUUGACGCUGAUGAGCGAAAGCUAGGGGAGCAAACGGG
rnacentral:rRNA from 1 species